rnacentral:rRNA from 1 species
UACAGAGGUCUCAAGCGUUGUUCGGAUUCAUUGGGCGUAAAGGGUGUGUAGGUGGCGCCGUAAGUCGGGUGUGAAAUUUCGGAGCUUAACUCCGAAACUGCAUUCGAUACGUGCGGUGCUUGAGGACUGGAGAGGAGACUGGAAUUCAUGGGUGUAGCACGUGAAAUGCGUAGAGAUCAUGAGGAAGACCAGUGGCGAAGGCGGGUCUCUGGACAGUUCCUGACACUGAGACACGAAGGCCAGGGGAGCAAACGGG